ensembl:snoRNA
AUCCUUUCAUAAUUCAUAAUUGUGAUAAUUAGGUUUAUACAUUCAUAUGUGAGAUGUGUCUCCCUCAAACCUUAUUAGACUUAUUAGGCACAUUACUCAUCUGAUG